rnacentral:lncRNA from 1 species
UAAUAUUUAAAACAAAUGAUAUACAUAAAAUUAUUCAAAAUAAGUCACAUACAACAGUUCAAUGUAAAGUUUAAAAUAAAUAAAAUGGUUUUAAAUAAAUAGAAGAAGUUUAAAUCCACACGAAUAAGGGCUUGAUUGGAAAUAAGAUGAGAUUUUAAGGUCCAAAUUCGAAGAAGAUAAACGCAAAUAUAUAAAGGAGGGACUAAAUCAGAAGUGAAAUAAAAUUAAAGAGACAAAUUUAAAUAAAAUAAAAGAAAAUAGAAUUGAAUUAAAACAAAACGGAAAAGGGGAAGGGCUUGAAACAUAAAUAACCCAAAAACCAAAAAUAUCCCUUUGGUCAUUGGGUCGGGUCAACGGGCAUGGACCGAAACGACGCCGUUUUGGGGCCUGAAUCUCAAGCCCAAAACGACGUCGUAUAGGCAUUGUUAUAAAACUCAAAUUUUUAUAAAAAAAAAUUCAUUUUAUCAAACCAAAAAAAAAAAAAAAACAAAAACCCCUCACCCUCUUCUCUUCUUCUUUCUCUGCUAGGGUUUCAAAAACCCUCUUAGCGCCGCCGUCGGUUCUUCAUCCCUCCACCUUGGACGGUGGUCGUGGCAACAACAAAUGGGCUUUUCAGCCCUUGAUUAAGCCACAUUUGAAGGCCAAACCUUCAAAGCCUGGGCAAUCGAGAUCGGGAGGCUUCUCCCUCCCUUUGGAGUUCGAACUCGACGAUGGAGGGAGGAGUUCCGGUGACGCGAUUCGGUAAGUUCCCUUUCCCCUCCCUUUUUUAUUUAUUCCAAGCCUUUUUUUUGUUAAAAAGGAUUUGCAAAAUAAAAACAAAAAUAGAAAAAUCGAAAAUAAAAAAGAUCAAAAAAGAUAUAAGAGCAAACACCUCUUAGACUUGUUUUUUUGCUUUCGAUCUCUGAAAAUAUAUGUGUAAUACAAUUUUUGUAUUUAAAAAAAAGAACCCCCCUCUAUUACAUUCGGAUCUGGCUCUUAUAGACAUUUCAAUACAAUAUUUUUAAGUUUCUUGCUAUAGCUCUCUAUCGUCUGCUGCUAUUUCUGCGUUUGUUCUUUUUUUGUGCCUUCUUUUGCAGAUUUUGGAAGUUAACAGGGCGGGUUUUCGCUAUUUUGGUGCAAAACGACGAAAGGUGCCAGGUCUCGGGACCAGGCACUGGUGAGGCGACCAAAGUGGGCGUACGAACGGGUGCGGCGCACAUGGAGGAGUUAGGGUUUUCGUUUAGCUGAUGGUGUUUAAGGUUUUGUGCCAAUUGGGCCUUGUAAUUUUAGGCUGGGUUAAUUGGGCUACUUGGGCUAAUUGUAAUUGACUGAUGGACAUUAAAGGUUUUAUUAUAUUUUAAUUUUGACUCUUCUCUUGACCCAGGCAAAAAUGGGUCAUUACACGUUGUAUUCACUUGAGAUGAAAAAUGAGUGCCUUGUAGGUUGAUACUUGAAAGGGGAGUGAUGCUAUUAGCCUAUUGUUUCUUUUAUUGUCACAAUUUAGAUAAGUCAAAAAAGUAGGGUCGAAGGACAAUGAGUUUCAGCCGUACUGGACACUCUUACUGUUUUUCACAUGAAAAUGAAAUUUUAUUCAAACAAAAGAAAUACUUUUUCUUCAUAAAUAUUACACAAUUGGGUAAAUCUAAAAUUUAUAUAUAUGAAUUUUGAUGUAAUGUAUAAGUUAUUAUAUAUAUAUAUAUGAUAUUUUUAUUAUUUUAUUAUUAUACGUAAUUAUUGUUUUAAAUUAUUUGUAAUUUAAUUUAAUGUCUGAAAAUUUAUUAAAUAGAAG